CGGGUGAGUAACACGUAUGCAACCUGCCUGCCACAGCCGGAUAAUCGGGAGAAAUUCCGUCUAAUACGGCAUAAUGCAUCGACGGGACAUCCUGUUGGUGCCAAAGGUNAUUCCGGUGGCGGAUGGGCAUGCGUCGCAUUAGUUAGUUGGCGGUGUAACGGACCACCAAGACGACGAUGCGUAGGGGUUCUGAGAGGAAGGUCCCCCACACUGGUACUGAGACACGGACCAGACUCCUACGGAAGGCAGCAG
rnacentral:rRNA from 1 species